AGAACGAACGCUGGCGGCGUGGAUAAGACAUGCAAGUCGAGCGCUGAUUAAAGGGUAGCAAUAUCUUUUAAUUGGAGCGGCGCAAGGGUGCGUAACACGUGGGUAAUUUGCCAUGAAGUUGGGGAUAACUUGCUGAAAGGCGAGCUAAUACCGAAUGUGGCCCGACGGAGACAUCUCUGUUUGGCUAAAGCUGGGGACCGCAAGGCCUGACGCUUCAUGAUAAACCCGCGGCCUAUCAGCUAGUUGGUGAGGUAACGGCCACCAAGGCUAAGACGGGUAGCUGGUCUGAGAGGACGACCAGCCACACUGGAACUGAGAGACGGUCCAGACACCUACGGGUGGCAGCAGUCGAGAUUUUUCAC
rnacentral:rRNA from 1 species